CACAGCUCGUCACUUGUUCCUGCGAGGAGGGGUCGGUGUGGGCUCCAUGAUCGAGAUAUACAGAGGGCAUCAAAGGUACAGUGUGUGCCAUGCUAACUUCAGCAUGGGCUCCAGGAACAUGGCGAGGAAGGUCCUCCAGGCUCUAUAGGGCCUUUAAGAUGGUGGAGGACCCAAAUGGGGUUGCCUCAGCAAACAAGAAAUGGCUAAGUUUACAAAGCGCCAUCUGAGGAAUGCAUGCAAAGAAUCCAGACAAGUGAAAUGCAGCUUCCAGACAUGACUUACUUCCGUUGGCGGAGGUAUUGCCCCAACCAGACACCAGGCAGUUCUCGUCGGCCUCGGGACAGCGGGAGGGCAGGGCCACGGUCUGAACGUUGCUGUUGAGGGUGGCGGGGCGGCUCAGUUUGAUCAGCAUGAUGUCGUUGUCCAGGUUGUAGCUGUUGUACUGGGGGUGCGUGAUCAUCUUGGCACCAUCAAUCCACUGCUCAGUGCCCUCAUUCACAGCAAUGUUGUGCUCGCCAAGACGGACCUGGAUACGACUGGUGGAAGUAUGAAAGCUCAGUCUGUUUUCUUAAAAAAAUCUGCAUAGAGUAUCAUAUUAUAUGAACAUGAAGUUAAUAACCUGAUUCAGUGGUGUCAUUACAAAGCAUAAAAGAAGAUUACAUUUGCAAUUAUACUGUGUGUGUGUGUGGGGGGGGGGUUGCUCACAUUAGUUGGAUUCCAUUGAAAUUCCAUGCAAAAUGUUAAUUUAUUUUAUUAAUGCAGUUGGUAUUGACUUACUGCUAACCAAGCUAGCCAUAAUACUAGCUGUCUGAGGCUAAUGUGUUGCUAAAAUAAUAAUUAAUUGUUAAUUGCAGUUGGGCUAAGUGUUAUGUACUUUACUCUUUAUUUGUAAUCUUGUGGACUAUGUGUCUAUGCGUGUAUAUAAUUUUACUAAAUUAACUACUGUUGUACUGUACUUCCUAGUGGACUAAAUGCUGAUAUUUUAAUGGCGAUAUGUUGUUUCUUCCUGGCAUGAGGGACAAGGAAGUAAUUAAAAGUUAAUCUAUAUUUUCCUUGA